rnacentral:tRNA from 1 species
GAGAAAUUAGUUAAAUUAUAACAUUAGUAUGUCAUACUAAAAUUAUUAAAUAAUUAAUAUUCCUCU